rnacentral:rRNA from 1 species
GACGAAGGAUGCAAGCGUUAUCCGGAUUCAUUGGGUUUAAAGGGAGCGUAGGUGGCCUUAUAAGUCAGUGGUGAAAUCCUGUUGCUUAACCGCAGAAUUGCCAUUGAUACUGUAGGGCUUGAGUAUAGUUGCCGUUGGCGGAAUAUGACAUGUAGUGGUGAAAUACAUAGAGAUGUCAUAGAACACCGAUUGCGAAGGCAGCUAACGAAACUAUAACUGACACUGAGGCUCGAAAGUGCGGGGAGCAAACAGG